CCUACGGGUGACUGCAGUCGAGAAUCAUUCACAAUGGGGGAAACCCUGAUGGUGCGACGCCGCGUGGGGGAAUGAAGGUCUUCGGAUUGUAAACCCCUGUCAUGUGGGAGCAAAUUAAAAAGAUAGUACCACAAGAGGAAGAGACGGCUAACUCUGUGCCAGCAGCCGCGGUAAUACAGAGGUCUCAAGCGUUGUUCGGAAUCACUGGGCGUAAAGCGUGCGUAGGCUGUUUCGUAAGUCGUGUGUGAAAGGCGCGGGCUCAACCCGCGGACGGCACAUGAUACUGCGAGACUAGAGUAAGGGAGGGGGAACCGGAAUUCUCGGUGUAGCAGUGAAAUGCGUAGAUAUCGAGAGGAACACUCGUGGCGAAGGCGGGUUCCUGGACAUUAACUGACGCUGAGGCACGAAGGCCAGGGGAGCGAAAGGGAUUAGAUACCCUGGUAGUC
rnacentral:rRNA from 1 species